UUCUCUACAGAAAACCACAACCAGCAAAGAAGAGGAAAGAGGAGGAUUUUUGACACUUAGAAUUUGAACUACCAGAUAGUGUCACAUUCUUAGAUUGAGCAUGUUCAAAGCAAGACAGAGCCUAAAUGUGACACCAAAACACUCCAAAAGAUCUAUGCAACCACAAAUAAGAUGUUGAAACCAAGCGAACAUUCAUCAGUUGUGCAUUUGACACUAAUAGAAAUCUGCGGCUGUAAGCAUGAACAAGAAACUAAAGAGCAAUUACUCAGCUUUAUUCCUGGGACGAUUUAUUUUAAACAUGUCCCUGCUCCUUUGAGUAUGAAACCACAUAACAAAAUAGAUGCAUGAGGAUAAUGACACACUAGCAAAUUCCAAUUUAAUCCUAUCUCGAGUGGAAACUUUGCACAUAACAACAGAGAACUAGAAAGCUUCCAAGUUUACCCAUCCAGUUAAGAGAAAUCGAUGUUUACAAACUGAACUGAUCCUAAUCUUGCUUCAAAGGUGAAAACAAAUCACUAGAAAUGGAAACAAAUAGAUAGACAAUACAAACUGGUCGGCAUUCAAGUGUCAAGAAUGAUCACAAUCUUGCUUCAAAGAUGAAAACAAAUCACUAGAAAUGGAAACAAAUCGAUAGACAAUACAAACUGGUCGGCAUUCAAGUGUUAAGAUAGUCUGUACAUUUAAC
rnacentral:lncRNA from 1 species